GACGACCCGUGCGAACGUUGUUCGGAAUCACUGGGCUUAAAGGGUGCGUAGGCGGGUUGUCCAGUCUGGGGUGAAAUCCCACGGCUCAACCGUGGAAUUGCCUCAGAUACUGACGACCUCGAGGGAGGUAGGGGCGAGCGGAACUGUGGGUGGAGUGGUGAAAUGCGCUGAUAUCCUCAGGAACUCCGGUGGCGAAGGCGGCUCGCUGGACCUCUUCUGACGCUUAGGCAAGAAAGCUAUGGGAGCAAACGGG
rnacentral:rRNA from 1 species